AACAAUAUCCUGAUGCUGAAUGAGUGGGACAUACAGGCUCCAGCAUCAGUGAUUUUGUUGC
rnacentral:pre_miRNA from 1 species